rnacentral:rRNA from 1 species
UACGAAGGGUGCAAACGUUGCUCGGAAUCAUUGGGCGUAAAGCGCACGUAGGCGGUUCGUCGCGUCGGCUGUGAAAUCCCGAGGCUCAACCUCGGGUCUGCAGUCGAUACGGGCGGACUGGAGUUCGGCAGGGGAGACUGGAAUUCCUGGUGUAGCGGUGAAAUGCGCAGAUAUCAGGAGGAACACCGGUGGCGAAGGCGGGUCUCUGGGCCGAUACUGACGCUGAGGAGCGAAAGCGUGGGGAGCGAACAGG